rnacentral:rRNA from 1 species
GACGAACGCUGGCGGCGUGCCUAAUACAUGCAAGUCGAACGCAGUGGGGACGGGUGAGUAACACGUGGGUAACCUCCCAUCAGUGUGUAUAACACUUGGAAACAGGUGCUAAACCGAUACUGAUGGAUGGACCCGCGGUGCAUUAGCUAGUUGGCGAGGUAACGGCUCACCAAGGCCACGAUGCAUACCCGACCUGGGGGGGUGAUCGGCCACACUGAGACUGAGACACGGCCCAGACUCCUAGGGGAGGCAGCAGUAGGGAAUCUUCGGCAAUGGACGAAAGUCUGACCGAGCAACGCCGCGUGAGUGAAGAUGGUUUGCGGAUCGUAAAGCUCUGUUGUUAGAGAAGCGGUAUCUAACCAGAAAGCGACGGCUAUCUACGUGCCAGCCGCCGCGGUAAUUC